UACGUAGGUGGCAAGCGUUGUUCGGAAUUACUGGGCGUAAAGGGCGCGUAGGCGGUUGGAUAAGUCAGCUGUGAAAAACCACGGGCUUAACUCGUGGCCUGCAGUUGAGACUGUCUGGCUUGAGUGCGGGAGAGGAGAGUGGAAUUCCUGGUGUAGCGGUGAAAUGCGCAGAUAUCAGGAAGAACACCCGUGGCGAAGGCGGCUCUCUGGAACGCAACUGACGCUGAGACGCGAAAGCGUGGGGAGCAAACAGG
rnacentral:rRNA from 1 species